rnacentral:misc_RNA from 1 species
CCGUCCAUACGCAUCGUUAAUCCAACCACCUGAUGCAGCUCCAAUUAUUGCACCAACCAGAGCCAUACUAACAAUUGUUUCCUGUAAGAAGCUACUCUGAUUAACCACCUCAAAUUCGUCUUUUAUGUACAAAAGGGCACCUGAAAUAACACCUGUAUCAUAGCCGAAGAGCAGACCCCCUAUUCCAGCAAUCACAGUUAAUCCCAAAACAUACGUAUUACUGAAAUACGACAUUCUCCUCUCUGGGAACAAAUCCAAGUAACCUGAGCUUCCUGGUAAAGACUCGAUCGUCAUCUUUUUUCUACCUUCUUUCUUUUCACCCCUUGUUCGAGGAACACUGACUGAAAUUACUAGUCGAAAAACACUAAUUGCAAUCUCUAGA